rnacentral:lncRNA from 1 species
UGGAUCUUAAGUCACUCAGAAGCUGUUUCCCUUUGACUAAUUCUUACAUUUAGUAACCAGGCAAUCAUUGCAAUACGUUCCCGCUGUUUGAUGAUUUUAGUCACAUGACCCCGCCUUUUCUUCAGUUGUCCGACAUGUUUUCUAGAGGAAUGAUAUUGUUCAUGGAGGGUUUGAGGUUUUCUUUUAAGAGCUUCCAACACCUGUGGUUUUGCUAAUAGUAACAAAUGGUGGCAGUUGUCAGUAACAGUAACCAGCUCACUGAGGGAGAGUAUUUAUGUGUGUGUGACUCAAGAGCCAAAUCCAAAAUUGAGCUUGAGAUUAGAGAGAUCAGAUUAUUGAGAUUAGCAGAGACGAUUAGGAGUGAGAUACAGUUAUAGCGUGAACUUGAGUACAUGUGUCUCAUUCAUGAUGUUUACGAAACUUUACAAAAUGUGUUAUUAGCUUUUUUAAGCCCAAAGAUCAUUUAAAAAUUGACAUUAAAUCAUAUAGUCGAACCCACCUCGUCUUUAACUUAUUCCUUCUAGUUACAAUUUAAAAGGGCACAAGGAAGGCCAAGAAACAGAUACAUAUUUAGCAUGGCAUCGACUUUUCAGUUUUUAAUUCAACUGUUUAUCUGAUUAAGUUUUAUCAAG